rnacentral:rRNA from 1 species
GACGAACGCUGGCGGCGUGCCUAAUACAUGCAAGUUGAGCGCUGAAGGUUGGUACUUGUACCAACUGGAUGAGCAGCGAACGGGUGAGUAACGCGUGGGGAAUCUGCCUUUGAGCGGGGGACAACAUUUGGAAACGAAUGCUAAUACCGCAUAAAAACUUUAAACACAAGUUUUAAGUUUGAAAGAUGCAAUUGCAUCACUCAAAGAUGAUCCCGCGUUGUAUUAGCUAGUUGGUGAGGUAAAGGCUCACCAAGGCGAUGAUACAUAGCCGACCUGAGAGGGAGAUCGGCCACAUUGGGACGGAGACAAGGCCCAAACUCCUACGGGAGGCAGCAGUAGGGAAUCUUCGGCAAUGGACGAAAGUCUGACCGAGCAACGCCGCGUGAGUGCAGAAGGUUUUCGGAUCGUAAAACUCUGUUGGUAGAGAAGAACGUUGGUGAGAGUGGAAAGCUCAUCAAGUGACGGUAACUACCCAGAAAGGGACGGCUAACUACGUG